rnacentral:rRNA from 1 species
AGUGAACGCUGGCGGUAGGCCUAACACAUGCAAGUCGAACGGCAGCACAGUAAGAGCUUGCUCUUACGGGUGGCGAGUGGCGGACGGGUGAGGAAUACAUCGGAAUCUACUUUUUCGUGGGGGAUAACGUAGGGAAACUUACGCUAAUACCGCAUACGACCUACGGGUGAAAGCAGGGGAUCUUCGGACCUUGCGCGAUUGAAUGAGCCGAUGUCGGAUUAGCUAGUUGGCGGGGUAAAGGCCCACCAAGGCGACGAUCCGUAGCUGGUCUGAGAGGAUGAUCAGCCACACUGGAACUGAGACACGGUCCAGACUCCUACGGGAGGCAGCAGGGGGGAAUAUUGGGCAAUGGGCGCAAGCCUGAUCCAGCCAUACCGCGUGGGUGAAGAAGGCCUUCGGGUUGUAAAGCCCUUUUGUUGGGAAAGAAAAGCAGCAGGUUAAUACCCCGCUGUUCUGACGGUACCCAAAGAAUAAGCACCGGCUAACUUCGUG